GAAUUCAUCGGUGUGCUCAUCCCUCUUACAAUGUUGUGGGCCUACUCUGUUCUAUUCCUGGGAUGGCUCUUCUCGGGUUUGGAGUCCCAGCUGAUACGAACUCAACCAGCCUCCCUGACUGCGUCUCCAGGGUUAACAUUAAACAUCCCUUGUCAAAUGAACAGUGGCUACUCCAUUGACCGCGAGAGAGCCAGGUGGUACCAGCAGAAACCAGGUGGCAUCCCACGUUUUCUGUACCACUAUUAUACCAGUACCGAUCAAGUCAGGGGAACUGGGGUCCCAGAGAGGUUCAGCGUUUCCCCCGAUGCCUCCCAGAACAUCUGGAAUCUGGGGAUCAGUGGAGUUCAAGUGGAAGACGACGCUGUUUAUUACUGUAGCACAUGGGACUACAAACUUACUGGGCACACAGUGGUUGAGUUUUAUGGGGAACUGAGACAAAAACCUUUCACUUGUCACACCACGUCAGGCAUCUGCAGAUGA